GUCUUCGGACGAUAAACUAUAUCAUGGAGAGUUUGAUCCUGGCUCAGAACGAACGCUGGCGGCGCGUUUUAAGCAUGCAAGUCGAACGGUAGAGAGGUGCUUGCACCUCUUGAGAGUGGCGAACGGGUGAGUAACGCGUAGGUGAUCUACCAUUUAGUUGGGGAUAGCUCAUGGAAACAUGGGGUAAUACCGAAUAAUCUUUAUCCUCUUGUGGAUAAAGGAAAGGGGCGUUUGCCUCGCUGAAUGAUGAGCCUGCGUAUGAUUAGCUAGUUGGUAGAGUAAUAGCCUACCAAGGCGACGAUCAUUAGCCGGCCUGAGAGGGUGACCGGCCACAUUGGGACUGAGACACGGCCCAGACUCCUACGGGAGGCAGCAGCUAAGAAUCUUCCGCAAUGGACGAAAGUCUGACGGAGCGACGCCGCGUGUGCGAAGAAUGUCGAGAGAUUGUAAAGCACUUUUAUAUGUGAGGAAUAACAGUAUCAGGAAAUGGGUAUUGGAUGACGUUAGCAUAUGAAUAAGCUCCGGCCAAUUACGUGCCAGCAGCCGCGGUAACACGUAAGGAGCGAGCGUUGUUCGGAAUUAUUGGGCGUAAAGGGCAUGUAGGCGGUUAUGUAAGUCCGAUGUGAAAGCACACAGCUUAACUGUGAUGUUGCGUUGGAAACUGUAUGACUUGAAUCCGAGAGGGGUAAGUGGAAUUCCUAGUGUAGGGGUGAAAUCUGUUGAUAUUAGGAAGAACACCGGAGGCGAAGGCGACUUGCUGGCUCUGGAUUGACGCUGAGGUGCGAAAGCGUAGGUAGCGAACAGGAUUAGAUACCCUGGUAGUCUACGCCGUAAACGAUGUACACUUGGUGUCUGGG
rnacentral:rRNA from 1 species